UAAUGAGGGCAGUACGGAUACCUAACCAG
rnacentral:sRNA from 1 species